CAGUCGAACGAAACUUUUUUUAUCACCGAGUGCUUGCACUCACCGAUAAAGAGUUGAGUGGCGAACGGGUGAGUAACACGUGGGCAACCUGCCCAAAAGAGGGGGAUAACACUUGGAAACAGGUGCUAAUACCGCAUAACCAUAGUUACCGCAUGGUAACUAUGUAAAAGGUGGCUAUGCUACCGCUUUUGGAUGGGCCCGCGGUGCAUUAGCUAGUUGGUGGGGUAAAGGCUUACCAAGGCAAUGAUGCGUAGCCGAACUGAGAGGUUGAUCGGCCACAUUGGGACUGAGACACGGCCCAAACUCCUACGGGAGGCAGCAGUAGGGAAUCUUCCACAAUGGGCGAAAGCCUGAUGGAGCAACGCCGCGUGGGUGAAGAAGGUCUUCGGAUCGUAAAACCCUGUUGUUAGAGAAGAAAGUGCGUGAGAGUAACUGUUCACGUUUCGACGGUAUCUAACCAGAAAGCCACGGCUAACUACGUGCCAGCAGCCGCGGUAAUACGUAGGUGGCAAGCGUUAUCCGGAUUUAUUGGGCGUAAAGGGAACGCAGGCGGUCUUUUAAGUCUGAUGUGAAAGCCUUCGGCUUAACCGGAGUAGUGCAUUGGAAACUGGGAGACUUGAGUGCAGAAGAGGAGAGUGGAACUCCAUGUGUAGCGGUGAAAUGCGUAGAUAUAUGGAAGAACACCAGUGGCGAAAGCGGCUCUCUGGUCUGUAACUGACGCUGAGGUUCGAAAGCGUGGGUAGCAAACA
rnacentral:rRNA from 1 species